CGUCCUACGGGAGGCAGCAGUGAGGAAUAUUGGUCAAUGGUCGGGAGACUGAACCAGCCAAGCCGCGUGAGGGAUGAAGGUACAGAGUAUCGUAAACCUCUUUUGUCAGGGAACAAAGGCGGGGACGCGUCCCCGGAUGAGUGUACCUGAAGAAAAAGCAUCGGCUAACUCCGUGCCAGCAGCCGCGGUAAUACGGAGGAUGCGAGCGUUAUCCGGAAUUAAUGGGUGUAAAGGGAGCGUAGGCGGCAUGGUAAGCCAGAUGUGAAAGCCCGCGGCUUAACCGCGCGGAUUGCAUUUGGAACUAU
rnacentral:rRNA from 1 species